UAGGGAAUCUUCGGCAAUGGACGAAAGUCUGACCGAGCAACGCCGCGUGAGUGAAGAAGGUUUUCGGAUCGUAAAACUCUGUUGUUAGAGAAGAACAAGGACGUUAGUAACUGAACGUCCCCUGACGGUAUCUAACCAGAAAGCCACGGCUAACUACGUGCCAGCAGCCGCGGUAAUACGUAGGUGGCAAGCGUUGUCCGGAUUUAUUGGGCGUAAAGCGAGCGCAGGCGGUUUCUUAAGUCUGAUGUGAAAGCCCCCGGCUCAACCGGGGAGGGUCAUUGGAAACUGGGAGACUUGAGUGCAGAAGAGGAGAGUGGAAUUCCAUGUGUAGCGGUGAAAUGCGUAGAUAUAUGGAGGAACACCAGUGGCGAAGGCGGCUCUCUGGUCUGUACUGACGCUGAGGCUCGAAAGCGUGGGGAGCAAACAGG
rnacentral:rRNA from 1 species